rnacentral:rRNA from 1 species
AACGAACGCUGGCGGCAUGCCUAACACAUGCAAGUCGAACGAGACCUUCGGGUCUAGUGGCGCACGGGUGCGUAACGCGUGGGAACCUGCCCUUAGGUUCGGAAUAACUCCCCGAAAGGGGUGCUAAUACCGGAUAAUGUCUUCGGACCAAAGAUUUAUCGCCUUUGGAUGGGCCCGCGUUGGAUUAGCUAGUUGGUAGGGUAAAAGCCUACCAAGGCGACGAUCCAUAGCUGGUCUGAGAGGAUGACCAGCCACACUGGGACUGAGACACGGCCCAGACUCCUACGGGAGGCAGCAGUGGGGAAUAUUGGACAAGGGGCGAAAGCCUGAUCCAGCAAUGCCGCGUGAGUGAUGAAGGCCUUAGGGUUGUAAAGCUCUUUUACCCGGGAUGAUAAUGACAGUACCGGGAGAAUAAGCUCCGGCUAACUCCG